UGGGAGACAUCGCCCGGAGAUGGAUUCUGAGACACGAAUCCAGACCCUACGGGGUGCAGCAGGCGCGAAAACUUGGCAAUGCGAGAAAUCGUGACCAGGGAACUCCAAGUGCAUCGGGUAAGACCGAUGCUUUUCUUGACUCUUCAAAGGUCUUGGAAUAAGGGGUGGGUAAGGACGGUGCCAGCCGCCGCGGUAAUACCGGCGCCUCAAGUGGUAGUCGCUUUUAUUGGGCCUAAAACGUCCGUAGCCGGUUUGGUACAUUCGUGGGUAAAUCAAGGCGCUCAACGUCUUGAAUUCUGCGAGCACGGCCAGACUUGGGACCGGGUGAGGUGUGGGGUACUCUCAGGGUAGGGGUAAAAUCCUGUCAUCCUGAGAGGACCACCUGUUGCGAAGGCGCCACACUAGAACGGAUCCGACGGUCAGGGACGAAGCCUAGGGGCACGAACCGGAUUAGAUACCCGGGUAGUCCUAGGUGUAAACGCUGUAGACUUGAUGUUGGGAGUGCUCCGAGCACCCUCAGUGUCGAAGCGAAGGUGAUAAGUCCACUGCCUGGGGAGUACGGUCGCAAGGCUGAAACUUAAAGGAAUUGGCGGGGGAGCACUGCAACCUGAGGAUUGUGCGGUUUAAUUGGACUCAACGCCGGAA
rnacentral:rRNA from 1 species